GUCUAUGGCCAUACCACCCUGAACGCCCCCGAUCUUGUCUGAUCUCGUCUAAUCUCGGAAGCUAAACAGGGUUAGGCCUGGUUAGUACUUGCAUGGGAGACUCCCUGGGAACACCAGGUGCUGUAGGCU
rnacentral:rRNA from 1 species